CCUACGGGUGGCAGCAGUGAGGAAUAUUGGUCAAUGGACGCAAGUCUGAACCAGCCAUGCCGCGUGAAGGAAGACGGCUCUAUGAGUUGUAAACUGCUUUUGUACGAGGGUAAACGCAGAUACGCGUAUCUGUCUGAAAGUAUCGUACGAAUAAGGAUCGGCUAACUCCGUGCCAGCAGCCGCGGUAAUACGGAGGAUUCAAGCGUUAUCCGGAUUUAUUGGGUUUAAAGGGUGCGUAGGCGGUCUGAUAAGUUAGGGGUGAAAUUCCGAGGCUCAACUUCGGAAUUGCCUCUGAUACUGGUCGGCUAGAGAGUAGUAGCGGUAGGCGGAAUGUGUGGUGUAGCGGUGAAAUGCUUAGAGAUCAUGCAGAACACCGAUUGCGAAGGCAGCUUACCAAGCUACUUCUGACGUUGAGGCACGAAAGCGUGGGGAGCAAACAGGAUUAGAUACCCGUGUAGUC
rnacentral:rRNA from 1 species